GCCGGAAUAGCUCAGCAGGUAGAGCAACGCAUUCGUAAUGCGUAGGUCGGGGGUUCGACUCCCUCUUCCGGCACCA
rnacentral:tRNA from 1 species